rnacentral:tRNA from 3 species
AAGAAAGUGGCAGAGCGGUUAUGUGGUCGGCUUGAAACUGACCUAUGGGGGUUCGACUCCUCCCUUUCUCGU